rnacentral:tRNA from 1 species
GGGGAUAUAACUCAGUUGGUAGAGUGCUUGCCUAGCAUGUGUAAGGCCCUGGGUUCAAUCUCCAGUAUCACCA